ACUAGCUAUAACCUAAACAUACAACAUGUAUGAAAAUGCAACUGAGCAGUAGUACAAGCAUUUCUAGGUGUGUCAGGUGUUGUCCUUCUUGUGAGAGAGGGAGAGAGAGAAAGAUGAGAAAAAGGAGAGAACACACAGCAAGUGACUGACUGAGUGAGUGAGGAAGUGAGCUGUGCCCAGUGGCAGGGACAUCAGAAACACGCCCACCAUCCACGGUUAAGCCUGCGCCUGUUCCUGGCUGACAGCUUGGCGAGAACUUCACCGACUGUGACCAUCCGUGUCCAGGAUGAUCUCAUCAGCGAUGGCAGACCGCCAACACCACUGGAGCUUUGUUCGCCUUUGUGAACCACGAAGUGCAGCCUUCUUGUAUUGCUGUUUGGUAUGCUAUGCAGUCACUGCUGAGGAGAUUUUGAAGCAGCAUCAAGAUCCUGCAGGUCUGCAAUGACAACCUAAGCUGUACGCCAUCCCGGAGACACACGCCUGACAUAACCGAGUCUUCAGAUUGCACAAGCACAACAGCAUCAAAAGGACUAAGCUUACGUAGGAUAUUUGCUGAGACCCAUAACUGCCAUAGGGAAGACAGCCUGUCACUGUGAUACCUUUGAGGACCGAGCUUCCAGUGGUGAAAAGAUGGCUUGCAUGACAAGAUUUAAGAGCGGGACAAGUAGUGAAGUAAAGGUGGAAUGGUACUUCCGUCCAUACAAAAUGUCAAGUGCCAUCUUUGUGCCUCCAUAUGCCUGCAUGUGCAUGUUGUUGGACAGUGUUUGAUAGAUCUACUAUCAAGGUAAUGGUAUAUGGCAAUGGCAAGAUGGUAGGUUGAAAGAAGUAUGCCACUUUAUACAACUUCUAAUGUGUCAACUCACUUUCAAAGAUUUCCUUGCUGACAUUUGUCACUAAUACAACCUGCCCAGCAAUGGUUAUAAAAGCAUAUUUAUCACAGGAAAGUGGGCAUUCUGGGCCUCCUUUGUGCCUUCCAUUAUUUAUGGUUAAAGAGGUUUGGUCUUGUAAAAGUUGAAAAUUAACUCUGGGCGGUGAAUGGCAGCCCCAAAAUUAAGUCGGAGUGAUAAAUGUUAUCUUGUUUGCUUUACCUCUGCUUUGUGUAUUGAAUGGGUCUGUUUUACAGCAUGGACUAUCAAGAUGGUGGUUAAAAGAAAGAACACAAGUUUUAUUGUCCAAUUUAACCCUCAAGCAGUAUAAAAGUCUAUGGUCACUUAUUUUAUGUCUUAUAGAUUUGUCUUUGUUUUGCAGAUGGGUCUCCAACUUUAAAUACAGCCCCCAUCAAAAUAAUGUAGCCAAUAUAGAACAUAAGGAAAACUAUUGGAUAAUAGAACAAACAAUACUGCAUGGAACUACCUUGAAUGAUUCUGGGUCUGUUUUUAAAUUUGUUUCUUAUGAAUCAAACCCUAUGGAUUAUUUUAAUGUAGAAAGCAAUUUUGUCCAAAUUGUAGGAUUGUCAUAAAGUCUGUGAUCCGCUUCUUGAUGUACAGUUUUAUCCGUGACCCAUGCAGACUGUGGGACAUGCAAAGUGCUGCCCAACCCCUUAUUAGUCACCUUCCCUGCCCUUUACUGCCAUCCCAAGUAUCGUCUCUGCUGAAGUUUUCCCCCGGUGGUGCUGUGUGAGGAAUGAAUGUCUUUUUGUUGUUGACCUUUGCCCCAGACUGGGGGCGGCUACUUCUUUCUGCUCGUUUCAUCCCCAUCGUCAUAAACCAAAAAAGUCUUCCCAGUAAAAAUAUACAGCUCCAUUGCAAGUAGACAGGAUACUUUGAUCAAGUCGUUUUGAACUUUUA